UACAGGGGGGGCAAGCGUUGUUCGGAAUUACUGGGCGUAAAGGGCUCGUAGGUGGCCAACUAAGUCAGACGUGAAAUCCCUCAGCUUAACUGGGGAACUGCGUCUGAUACUGGAUGGCUUGAGUUUGGGAGAGGGAUGCGGAAUUCCAGGUGUAGCGGUGAAAUGCGUAGAUAUCUGGAGGAACACCGGUGGCGAAGGCGGCAUCCUGGACCGACAUUGACGCUGAGGCGCGAAAGCCAGGGGAGCAAACGGG
rnacentral:rRNA from 1 species